UAAUACGAAGGGGGCUAGCGUUGUUCGGAUUUACUGGGCGUAAAGCGUACGUAGGUGGUCUUGCAAGUCAGUGGUGAAAUCCCGGAGCUUAACUCCGGAACUGCCAUUGAAACUGCGAGGCUGGAAUCUCAGAGGGGGUGGCGGAAUUGCUAAUGUAGGGGUGAAAUCCGUAGAUAUUAGCAGGAACACCGAUGGCGAAGGCAGCCACCUGGAUGAGUAUUGACACUGAGGUACGAAAGCGUGGGGAUCAAACAGG
rnacentral:rRNA from 1 species